CCCUCGCAGCCCUUCGGCAGCGGUGUUGGCCGGCAGCCCCCACCUGGUUGGGGGCUGCGGCCCAAAUACAGUGGCGGCCUCGCUGCACUUGCUCUGCGUAGUAGCACACCUCGCAUUGCAAAGUAGCGCGCCCACGCCGUAAAACCCCCGACCCCCAUGAGUUUGACCUCGGAUCAGGUAGGAAUACCCGCUGAACUUAA
rnacentral:misc_RNA from 1 species